CUACCGCAAGAAAGACUAAUGUCGUAUCUCACUCCAUCUCUCUUCCCUUUCCUCAAAAGCAAAGCAGAGCAACAGCAACGAAGUGUAGAAACCAUAAGCUAGAAAAAGAAGAUAUUUAUAAAACCAGAGUAGAGAGAAGAAGAUCGAGAAGAAAACUGAGCUUCUUCUUUUUCUUCUUCUUCUUAUUUAUUAUUAUUAUUUUUUUAUCAAAAUAGCUACAAAAGAGAAGAGGAGAAGAGAAAAAGAAUGCCACCCAACAGUAAUCUCAGUAGUGGUGAGAACCCAACAACAAGACCACCGCCUUCAAACCAAAACCACCACCACCUAUGCUACCCAACAACAACAAGAACAACGUCGUCGUCGUCCUCACCCUCCUUCAGAGGCUGCUGUUGCUGCCUCGUCCUCCUCUUCUCCCUCCUUGCCCUCCUAAUUCUAGCCGUUUUCCUCGUCAUAAUGCUGGCAGUCAAACCCAAGAAACCCCAGUUCGAUCUCCAACAGGUUGGAGUCCAGUACAUGGGCAUAUCCGCACCCAAUCCAUCCGCCUCUCCGGACCCCACAAGCACCACCACACCAGCCUCCGCCUCUCUUUCUUUAACCAUUAACAUGCUGUUCACCGCUGUUAACCCAAAUAAGGUAGGGAUCAGGUACGGGGAGUCCAGUUUUACUGUCAUGUACAGUGGGAUUCCUUUGGGGAAGGCUUUAGUGCCUGGGUUUUAUCAGGAAGCUCACAGUCAGAGACAGGUGGAGGCCACCAUAUCCGUUGAUCGAUAUAGCUUGAUGCAAGCUUAUGCUUCUGAUUUGAUCAGAGAUGCCUCCUUGAAUGAUCGUGUGGAGCUCAGAGUUCUCGGUCAAGUCGGUGCUAAGAUCCGCGUUCUAGACUUCGAUUCCCCUGGUGUUCAGUUAACUUCGUGCGCACGGGUGAAAGAAAUUACUUUUCGGUUUCCUUUACAAGUUUAGUUCAUGUUUAACUGUGGAUAUCACCUCCCAGCAACAAUUAGCAUGUGAACUUGUAAUGGUUGGCUGGAAUGUUUUAGGGUCCCCUUUUCUUGUCGUUUUGGAGGUAUGCUGUGUGAAGAGCUCUAUUAUAGUGGGGCAUGUCAGGUAUCAGUGGAUUGUGCAAUAGUGAUAAGUCCAAGAAAACAGUCUCUUACUUACAAGCAGUGUGGAUUCGAUGGAUUGAAUGUUUGAAGGUCCACAAAAAGAUCUAUUUUUUCUUUCAUUUUCUCCCGCAAUAAACAAGAACAGAGAGAGGAAAAAGGGGAACGCUACACUUGUGAAAAUGGGAGACCAAAAGGUUUUCCCAAGAUUUUGCUGAAUAUUAUAUAGUAUUAUUAUUUUUGCUUCAUUGUGAAGGAAAGAUUAAGAUACUGGCUGUGUGUAAAGUGCCACAACAGUUGCCCUCUUCGCACCCUCUCUUCCCCCCUGAGAUAUGGUGGCCGAUCAAGCACUGGACAUCCUCUCAGUUAAUAAACUGUGUCAGGACUCCAUACGUUGAUGUGACACAGCACAAUUCCGGCACCAUUAAUUCUUGCCCUAGUUGCUUGGCUUUAUCUAUCAAUUCCUCUUGAGUGAUGUGUGGUCCAUUUUCAUCCACUCUGUAAAUUAAUGUCCGAUUAAGGUAGUGAUAGGAUGUUAUUUGAUUAUUAGUAUCCCUUUAGUCAAUUUUAUAGAUACAAGAUGACAUGCCCGUG